AGCUUCCACAUCAUACAUGUAUCUUUCAUUAGCUGACUGUAAAUGACACAUUUGCCCAAGAAUAUCAAAAAUUCAAAUCUAAACAGGAAGUUCUGUGAGAGCAUGAUGGAGUUAUUUCACUACAAAGAAGUUUAUUUAUAUAGCUCUUUGUUUUCUAUGUGCAGUUUAUAUUUUACACGGAAGUUUAAGAGUGAUGAAAAUAAUACAAAUGGUGAGUCAAUAUAAUUUAUUUAUUUUCCAACAGUAAUCUAGAUUACCUGUAACUAUGAUAAAUCAUGGAUUCAAACUGGAAGCAGGUUGUUUACUUUUCGUUUUGGUAGCUUUCACAAAUGACUGUUGCUUCACAUAUUUUUUUUUGUUCAAAUGCUUCUGUUUUGCAAAUUAAAAAGCUGUAUGUUUUAGUUUAUCAUGCUUUUAAUUUACUAAAUAAAAAGUGAAUACUUUUAAAUGAAAUUAUUCAACGGAGACAAAAACUUUAAACCAGUAGAGUUAUCUCCCCAAUCACAGGGUAAACAAUGCUACCAGUCUGCUUACCAUGGCACUGCAAUUACUUCAGUCUGUAAAUUCAGAGAAUAAUAUUUUGCUUUAAAAUUAGUGUUUUAACCUGUUUUUACUUAUUAAUUAGUCUAUUGGUGUUGCACACAUUUAUGUUAAGGUAAAUGAAAAUUAUUGUUAACAAAAAUAAUUGUUUAUGGAUUAUUUACUUGCUUUUAUAAAUGAUUAUAUGAGCCACGCCAUGAGAAAACCAGCCACUAUGUUGGUUUUCUCAUGGCACGGCUCAUAUUGUUUAUUUUACAAGACUGGGGUAAUUAAAUUUAUUAAAGGUCCAUUACUAAGGGAAAGUGAGUUGGCAAUUUUUUUCAUAGCCAGUGCAUAGACUUCUGCAAGACACUAAAUAAUGAAGAUUGGCAGGUCAAAAUUACAGAAGGUCUUUGGAACUCAAAGAAAUGUAUGUGUAUUAUGUUGAAAUUUCAAUGAAUCGACAGAAUGACCCCCCAGGUCUUUUUAACUUUCUUCAUACUUCAUAGAAAAAUAAUUGUACAUAUACUGCGAUUUAUUUCGAAUUUCUACAUACCAACUUUCAUUUUCCAAUAAAAUGAAAUAGUAUCUGUGCUUUUUAAAAGAAAUUAAAAUGUUCACUUUCCUUAGUAUUGGACCUUUAAUUUAAUCAUGUUCAUCCAGAUAAUUCUUUUAAUCUAUUGAAGAGUAUAAUGUAAUAAGAAUAAAGACUUAUGUAACCCUCUAUUUGCUAUACAUUUGGUAGAACUAGUAACAUUUUUUGGCCCCAUCAUCACACUGUAUACAGUUAAAAUUUUAGUUCAUUGACAUACCCAAUAAUAAACCAAAGGUUUUUAUGAACAUUUUAAGUUUUAAACUAAAUCUAUUUUCAGGUAUAGCAACAUAUGUCAUGUAUGUAUAUAGGUAUGGCACACAUGAAUGAAUUGGGACCUUAUCAACGUAUUGUGUUCAAAGAAAACCUAACGAAUCCAGCAGUUCAAAAACAUGUUUUGCAGUGAGACGAAUGGUGACAAUGGCUUUGUGGCAGUUAGUGAAAAACUGUGGAAUUUUACACUGAUGAUGGCUACAAUUUACAGAAAAUUUCUCAACCAAUAGUGACAUUCAAUUGAAAGUAAUAGCAUAUCUUACACCGACUAUACAUCAGAAUGUUGUUGAAAAAAGCCAUGGCAAAAAGUGGAAAAUACUGAUCAAUAUACUUCAAUGACUUUGGAACUGAGUAGAAAAUGGUGACAUUUUAGCACCAUAUUGUGUGUAUACUUUUUCUUGCAUCCGCUAAGUCCAGCCAGGAUCCAUGCUGUUCACUAAUGGUUUCUAUGGUUGCAAUAGCAUUUGAAAGCGAGCAGCAUGGAUCCUGACCAAAUCAAGCUGAUGCGCAGGCUGGUCUGUAGCCAUGCUGAUCGCAAAGCCUCUAUGUUGGUUUUCUCCUGGCACGGCUCAUAUAUAAAUUCAUGUAUGUAAAUAAUGUUUUGCUUAUGGUAUUUUGUCAGCACAGGUAAUGAAAUACUAAAAAAACAUAAAAUAUUUUGUUAGUGUUUUGUUCAAAUUUGUGAUCUUGCUCUUUUGCAUAUCAUAUGUUUUGUUGGUAUUUUGUUAACAGUGUUUUGUUAGUGUUUUCUUUAGCACAUAUAAUGAAACACUAAUAAAACAUUAAGUAUUCUGUUAGUGUUUUGUUUAAGCCUAAUUUGCAUAUCAUGUUUUGUUGGUAUUUCGUUAGCAAUGUUUUGUUAGUGUUUUGUUAGUGUUUUGUUACCUCAUUUGCAUGUCAUUUGCUAUACUAAUAAAACAUCAUCAAAACACAGUAUA